AAAUUGAAGAGUUUGAUCAUGGCUCAGAUUGAACGCUGGCGGCAGGCCUAACACAUGCAAGUCGAGCGGAAACGAGUUAUCUGAACCUUCGGGGGACGAUAACGGCGUCGAGCGGCGGACGGGUGAGUAAUGCCUAGGAAAUUGCCCUGAUGUGGGGGAUAACCAUUGGAAACGAUGGCUAAUACCGCAUGAUGCCUACGGGCCAAAGAGGGGGACCUUCGGGCCUCUCGCGUCAGGAUAUGCCUAGGUGGGAUUAGCUAGUUGGUGAGGUAAGGGCUCACCAAGGCGACGAUCCCUAGCUGGU
rnacentral:rRNA from 1 species